rnacentral:lncRNA from 1 species
UCUUCAUCCUUUGUAGAUAAUUAGCUAUUCUAUGAUCUUUUUUACCACAACCAAAGUAUAUACUAAUAUUCCAAUGAUAAUCACUUACCGUAUAAUUUCCACCACAUCGAGAAUUCUUAACAUUAUCGGUCGAUCCAUAAUUGUCACUUACUAACCUCUUAUUUCAAACCCCCAAUAUGUUUACUAUUCCGUCCUUAGGAUUCAUUCGAUCU